GUUUAUAACCGCAGCUUCUCGUCGUCUCAGAGCCCCGCCCUCUAUCUGACUGUGAGAGACUUGGUGACCCAUCUGAUCAUCCGGGUGGUUGUGGUCCACUUCCUUCUGAUCAUGGGGACCAUCUCCCUCUUCUUCUACUGUCGGGCCAGUGGGGGGCGGAGCCGACUGAAGGCACGGAGGACACCAUGAGAUACACGUCCACGGACACAUCCACGCCAACGUCCAUGCCAACGUCCACAUCCACGUCCGUAUCCCCUGGAGUCUCUGUGCUUUAUCUCCUCACAGGUUUUCCCUGGAUCCUCUCUGGACCUCCUGCUGUGCUCCUGCCUCUCUCCUCCUUCAUCAUCAUCACUCACUUUUCCAUAUAGUUAUGAGAGUGUUUAUUCUAUACUUCCAUAGAUGGUAGAGGUUUAUAGUAUUUGUACUAACUGUUGUAAUAGUAGUAUAUCCACUGGUAGUACUUGUAUUUGUAAUAGUAGUAUAUCCACUGUUAGUACUAGUAUUUGUAG